AACGAACGCUGGCGGCAGGCUUAACACAUGCAAGUCGAGCGCCCCGCAAGGGGAGCGGCAGACGGGUGAGUAACGCGUGGGAAUCUACCCAUCUCUACGGAAUAACGCAUGGAAACGUGUGCUAAUACCGUAUACGUCCUUCGGGAGAAAGAUUUAUCGGAGAUGGAUGAGCCCGCGUUGGAUUAGCUAGUUGGUGGGGUAAAGGCCUACCAAGGCGACGAUCCAUAGCUGGUCUGAGAGGAUGAUCAGCCACACUGGGACUGAGACACGGCCCAGACUCCUACAGGAGGCAGCAGUGGAGAAUAUUGGACGAUGGGCGCAAGCCUGUUCCAGCAAUGCCGCGUGAUUGAUGAAGGUCCUAGGGUUGUAACGCUCUUUCACCGGUGAAGAUAGUGACGGUAACCGGAGAAGAAGCCCCGGCUAACUUCGUGCCAGCCGCCGCCGUAACAC
rnacentral:rRNA from 1 species